AUUGAACGCUGGCGGCAGGCCUAACACAUGCAAGUCGAACGGCAGCACGGGAGCAAUCCUGGUGGCGAGUGGCGAACGGGUGAGUAAUAUAUCGGAACGUGCCCAGUCGUGGGGAUAACGUAGCGAAAGCUACGCUAAUACCGCAUACGAUCUAUGGAUGAAAGCGGGGGAUCGCAAGACCUCGCGCGAUUGGAGCGGCCGAUAUCAGAUUAGGUAGUUGGUGAGGUAAAGGCUCACCAAGCCGACGAUCUGUAGCUGGUCUGAGAGGACGACCAGCCACACUGGGACUGAGACACGGCCCAGACUCCUACGGGAGGCAGCAGUGGGGAAUUUUGGACAAUGGGCGCAAGCCUGAUCCAGCAAUGCCGCGUGCAGGAUGAAGGCCUGGU
rnacentral:rRNA from 1 species